AGAGUCAUGGGAAGGAUUGAUGAGAAGAGGAAUGACCCGAAACUAUUCUUGGGAAAACGCUGCCGUUCAGUAUGAGCAAGUUUUCCAAUGGGUUUUCAUGGACCCUCCCUACGUCAGCUAGACCAAACACAAACCGAAUCAAACCGAGUUGGACCGGACCAGACCAGACCAGACCAGACCAGACCUGACCUGACCUGACCUGACCAAUCAGAUGGAGAAUGUGGAACCUCCUCUUCCGUUUAUCGAAUAUCUAUGGUUUUCAACGUUUCCACACAUUAAACCGUGUAUCUAUGUUACUAUCUCAAUUAUAUAAACUCGUACGAUAUUU
rnacentral:lncRNA from 1 species